GUGUAACAGGUGUUAUAUAAAUUUAUUAAUUUCACACAAAAUCCCUCCCUUUGUUAUUAUCAAUUAUUUUAUAUUUAUAUAAUUAUUUUUAUAUUCUGGGAAUUUUUCUUUCAUCUGGAAUGUUAUUUGAGCUGUUUCUAUCCUUGUAUGUAAAUUUUUCAGUGUUAUUUUGUAAUUGUUAAAAUAUAGUACGUGGCCCCUUUAAGAGUUAGGUUCCGGUUGUUUUCCUUCAGUUCGCGGUAAGCGCAGCUGGGGAAAGGUGAGUUCUGCUGGAGCUCUCACUAAAAAGUUUUAAAUUAGUUUGUUUCUUGUGACUAAUAUGUAUUUUUUUUGUUAAAAAUACAAUUUAAUCUUAUUGUAACACUAAUAGAGGUUGGGUAACAUGAAGUAUGUAUUUUCUUUUGGUGUUUAUUAACCGUGUAAGUUCCGUGGCUAAAAUUAUCUGUUUUGACUGGCAGGUCAAUGUUGAAAUUGUGGAGAAAGGCCACGGAUUGACACUUUUUUCAUAAAUUUUCCUUUUUAUUCAUUCAGAAUAAAAAAAGUGGUCCAAAGAAUCUCUUGUUGUCCGGUCUGGUUAAAAUAUCAACACAACGCAGAGAGAAGAUAAAGACCGGUCACAAUGGUGCCGUGACUUUUCCUUGAUGCAAGUCAUCGUGGAUCCUCUUUGAUCAACGUCAGCUUGGUCGCCGGGGUUUGCUGCAUUCUGGAGCGCCCAAAUUAUGACUGUACCUGUGUCAAAGAAAAAAGAAUAAAAAAAGUGGUCCAAAGAAUCUCUUGUUGUCCGGUCUGGUUAAAAUAUCAACACAA
ensembl:lncRNA